rnacentral:rRNA from 1 species
AUGAAGAUGGAACAUGACCUCCAUAUGACCAUAGGAGAAGAAGAGACCAGCUACUUCAAAAACUCAAGGCUUCAGGAAAAAGCUCUGGUUGAGACUAAGCCAGUUCUCCAGAAGAUUGUGAUGGAAAUGUGUGUGGCUCUACUCCAUCCCACAAUGACGAUUGUUGACUUAGGCUGCUCUUCAAGUGACAACACACUCUUCUUUGUCUCCAAUGUGAUCAAAGCGGUCAGCUACCACCUUGAGAAAUUCAGUGGCCAUCCCACUGAGCUUCAGUUCUUUCUCAACGAUUUACCAGGCAACGACUUCAACCAUGUCUUCCAAUCACUUCAACGAUUCAAGAACUCCAUUGAUGUGGAUCACAAGGGAGGGCCAAUACCUGCUUUCUACAUCGCUGGGUUGCCCAGCUCCUACUAUAGAAGACUCUUGCCUCACGGGAGUGUUCAUCUCUUUCACUCAUCAUAUUGCCUGCAGUGGCGUUCUCGGGUACUAGCACCAACCAGACACAGCUUACUUGCAUAA